GACGAACGCUGGCGGCGUGCCUAACACAUGCAAGUCGAGCGAGUGGAGUUCUUCGGAACAAAGCUAGCGGCGGACGGGUGAGUAACACGUGGGCAACCUGCCUCAUAGAGGGGAAUAGCCUCCCGAAAGGGAGAUUAAUACCGCAUAAGAUUGUAGCUUCGCAUGAAGUAGCAAUUAAAGGAGUAAUCCGCUAUGAGAUGGGCCCGCGGCGCAUUAGCUAGUUGGUGAGGUAACGGCUCACCAAGGCGACGAUGCGUAGCCGACCUGAGAGGGUGAUCGGCCACAUUGGGACUGAGACACGGCCCAGACUCCUACGGGAGGCAGCAGUGGGGAAUAUUGCACAAUGGGGGAAACCCUGAUGCAGCAACGCCGCGUGAGUGAUGACGGCCUUCGGGUUGUAAAGCUCUGUCUUCAGGGACGAUAAUGACGG
rnacentral:rRNA from 1 species